GAACCGUUAGCUCAGUUGGUAGAGCGGCACCUUGAAGCGGUGCGCGUCGUUGGUUCGAUUCCAACACGGUUCA
rnacentral:tRNA from 1 species